rnacentral:ribozyme from 1 species
UGAUGAUAGAUAGAUAGAUAGAUCCAUAGAUCUAUAACUCAAGUCUCGUCGUAUUUCAAUACAUUUGAUGUAUCCACCCUGCAAGGAAUGGUCGUCAAGCGAUUUUUUGCAAUUUUUUGUAAUUUU